rnacentral:tRNA from 1 species
GCGGGCGUAAUUUAAUGGUAAAAUUUUAGCUUCCCAAGUUAGAUAUGUGGGUUCGAUUCCCAUCGUCCGCU